rnacentral:lncRNA from 1 species
UGUUUUUUUUUUUUUUUUCAUUGGGUGUGUUUAUUUUACUUGUUACAUUAGAUUGACUAAACCACCCUCUCAAUUCUUUUGUUAGUUUAAUCAUUCACAAACCCUACAAAAUCAUAGUAGUUGGUACAUGAUCCAAGUUCGUUCGAAGAUAUUGUCAUUACCAAAGUAUAUAUGGCGGCUACUAGCAGUAAGAUCUGCC